AGUUCCUCUUAUCCAGUUUUCAGUUCUGUCUCAGGGGUGAUUUUUCCACGAGUAGUUGUAAAUUGGCUGUGUCCACGGGAGGAGGGUAAAUGAGUCAUGUGAGGUUCUGUUCAAGACCUCUUCCUGGACAGGGAGAUUAUCAAAUGCUUCCCUCACCUCUCAUGAGUGUGAAGACUGGCGCUAAUUGUCAUUGACUUUGGCAGGCU